CAGCCGCCGCGGUAAAACCAGCACCUCAAGUGGUCAGGAUGAUUAUUGGGCCUAAAGCAUCCGUAGCCUGCUUUGUUAGUUUUCGGUUAAAUCCAUACGCUUAACGUAUGGGCUGCCGGGAAUACUGCAAAGCUAGGGAGUGGGAGAGGUAGACGGUACUCGGUAGGAAGGGGUAAAAUCCUUUGAUCUAUUGAUGACCACCUGUGGCGAAGGCGGUCUACCAGAACACGUCCGACGGUGAGGGAUGAAAGCUGGGGGAGCAAACCGGAUUAGAUACCCGGGUAGUCCCAGCUGUAAACUAUGCAAACUCGGUGAUGCAUUGGCUUGAUGCCAAUGCAGUGCCGCAGGGAAGCCGUUAAGUUUGCCGCCUGGGAAGUACGUAUGCAAGUAUGAAACUUAAAGGAAUUGGCGGGGGAGCAC
rnacentral:rRNA from 2 species